GCGGGCAGGCUUAACACAUGCAAGUCGAGGGGUAUGGUUCUUCGGAACCAGAGACCGGCGCACGGGUGCGUAACGCGUAUGCAAUCUGCCUUUCACAGAGGGAUAGCCCAGAGAAAUUUGGAUUAAUACCUCAUAGUAUAGCGACAUCGCAUGAUGAUGCUAUUAAAGUCACAACGGUGAAAGAUGAGCAUGCGUCCCAUUAGCUAGUUGGUAAGGUAACGGCUUACCAAGGCAACGAUGGGUAGGGGUCCUGAGAGGGAGAUCCCCCACACUGGUACUGAGACACGGACCAGACUCCUACGGGAGGCAGCAGUGAGGAAUAUUGGUCAAUGGGCGCAAGCCUGAACCAGCCAUGCCGCGUGCAGGAUGACGGUCCUAUGGAUUGUAAACUGCUUUUGCACAGGAAGAAACACUGAUUCGUGAAUCAGCUUGACGGUACUGUGAGAAUAAGGAUCGGCUAACUCCGUGCCAGCAGCCGCGGUAAUACGGAGGAUCCAAGCGUUAUCCGGAAUCAUUGGGUUUAAAGGGUCCGUAGGCGGUCUGGUAAGUCAGUGGUGAAAGCCCAUCGCUCAACGGUGGAACGGCCAUUGAUACUGCUGGACUUGAAUUAUUAGGAAGUAACUAGAAUAUGUAGUGUAGCGGUGAAAUGCUUAGAGAUUACAUGGAAUACCAAUUGCGAAGGCAGGUUACUACUAAUGGAUUGACGCUGAUGGACGAAAGCGUGGGUAGCGAACAGGAUUAGAUACCCUGGUAGUCCACGCCGUAAACGAUGGAUACUAGCUGUUGGAAGCAAUUUCAGUGGCUAAGCGAAAGUGAUAAGUAUCCCACCUGGGGAGUU
rnacentral:rRNA from 1 species